AUUGAACGCUGGCGGCAGGCUUAACACAUGCAAGUCGAGCGAGCGGCGGACGGGUGGUUAAUGUCUGUGCAACUGCCUGAUGGAGGGGGAUAACUACUGGACCCGGUAGCUACUACCGCAUACCCUCAGAUGUGCCCAGAUGGGAUUAGCUAGUAGGUGGGGUAAUGGCUCACCUAGGCGACGAUCCCUAGCUGGUCUGCGAGGAUGACCAGCCACACUGGAACUGAGAAACGGUCAAGAGUCCUACGGGAGGCAGCAGGGGGGAAUAGUGCACAAUGGGCGAAAGCCUGAUGCAGCCAUGCCGCGUGUAUGAAGAAGGCCUUCGGGUUGUAAAGUACUUUCAGCGAGGAGGCGUUACUCGCAGAAGAAGCACCGGCUAACUCCGUGCCAGCAGCCGCGGGAAUAC
rnacentral:rRNA from 1 species